GACGAACGCUGGCGGCGUGCUUAACACAUGCAAGUCGAACGGUGAAGCCCUUCGGGGUGGAUCAGUGGCGAACGGGUGCGUAACACGUGAGCAACCUGCCCCUGGCUCUGGGACAACCACUGGAAACGGUGGCUAAUACCGGAUACGACCCGCCUCGGCAUCGAGUGUGGGUGGAAAGUUUUUCGGCGGGGGAUGGGCUCGCGGCCUAUCAGCUUGUUGGUGAGGUGAAGGCUCACCAAGGCGACGACGGGUAGCCGGCCUGAGAGGGCGACCGGCCACACUGGGACUGAGACACGGCCCAGACUCCUACGGGAGGCAGCAGUGGGGAAUAUUGCACAAUGGGCGAAAGCCUGAUGCAGCGACGCCGCGUGAGGGAUGACGGCCUUCGGGUUGUAAACCUCUUUCAGCUCCGAAGAAGCGAAAGUGACGGUAGGAGCAGAAGAAGCACCGGCUAACUACGUG
rnacentral:rRNA from 1 species